CCCUGGCUCAGAACGAACGCUGGCGGCAGGCUUAACACAUGCAAGUCGAGCGCCCCGCAAGGGGAGCGGCAGACGGGUGAGUAACGCGUGGGAAUCUACCCAACUCUACGGAAUAACUCAGGGAAACUUGUGCUAAUACCGUAUACGCCCUUCGGGGGAAAGAUUUAUCGGAGUUGGAUGAGCCCGCGUUGGAUUAGCUAGUUGGUGGGGUAAAGGCCUACCAAGGCGACGAUCCAUAGCUGGUCUGAGAGGAUGAUCAGCCACAUUGGGACUGAGACACGGCCCAAACUCCUACGGGAGGCAGCAGUGGGGAAUAUUGGACAAUGGGCGCAAGCCUGAUCCAGCCAUGCCGCGUGUGUGAUGAAGGCCUUAGGGUUGUAAAGCACUUUCACCGGAGAAGAUAAUGACGGUUUCCGGAGAAGAAGCCCCGGCUAACU
rnacentral:rRNA from 1 species